rnacentral:rRNA from 1 species
UGCAACGCGAAGAACCUUACCAGGGUUUGACAUCCUGCGAAUCUUUUGGAAACAGAAGAGUGCCUUCGGGAACGCAGAGACAGGUGGUGCAUGGCUGUCGUCAGCUCGUGUCGUGAGAUGUUGGGUUAAGUCCCGCAACGAGCGCAACCCACGUCUUUAGUUGCCAGCAUUCAGUUGGGCACACUAGAGAGACCGCCGGUGAUAAACCGGAGGAAGGUGUGGAUGACGUCAAGUCAUCAUGCCCCUUACAUCCUGGGCUACACACGUACUACAAUGCUACGGACAAAGGGCAGCAAACUCGCGAGAGCUAGCAAAUCUCAUAAACCGUGGCUCAGUUCAGAUCGUAGGCUGCAACUCGCCUACGUGAAGGAGGAAUCGCUAGUAAUCGCAGGUCAGCAUACUGCGGUGAAUACGUUCCCGGGCCUU